rnacentral:tRNA from 1 species
GGGGAUAUAGGUUAGUUGGUAAAGUGCUUACCUGGUAUGCAAGAGGCCUGGAUUCAAUCCCAAGGACCCCCU